UACGAAGGGGGCUAGCGUUGCUCGGAAUCACUGGGCGUAAAGGGUGCGUAGGCGGGUCUUUAAGUCAGGGGGGAAAUCCUGGAGCUCAACUCCAGAACUGCCUUUGAUACUGAAGAUCUUGAGUUCGGGAGAGGUGAGUGGAACUGCGAGUGUAGAGGUGAAAUUCGUAGAUAUUCGCAAGAACACCAGUGGCGAAGGCGGCUCACUGGCCCGAUACUGACGCUGAGGAGCGAAAGCAUGGGGAGCGAACAGG
rnacentral:rRNA from 1 species